UUCUCACUAGCACAGUGGUAGUUGCGUCGAGCUGUUAUUCAAAGCUUCCCAUCUUGGGGUCGAAGCAUUGCGUCUGGCACUCGAAGGUCGUUGGUUCGACCCCAACGUGGGAAG